UUUCUAGUAAGUUUAGUUGAGAAGCAGAACCCAUUGCUGCCCCCUGUUCGGCUAUCAGUGUGAUGAUGACCCAGACGUUGACCACUGAACUCUUCUUCGUGUCCCUGGUUGUUCUGCUGCUGGUGCUGCUGGUUCUACUGGUUCUCUACUGGAUCCUCAGACACAGCAAAAGCAGGUAAGAACCCACAGCUACCUCAUACAGACAUCAGCUUAUAAAAGCAGCAUUAAAGUUAAUUUUAAAGUCAUUUUAUUCACAUUGGGUCCUAAUUUUUCAGAAACCUUACAGAGCUGAAGGUCUCAGCAGGACGACCCCCUCGUAUCCUGACCAUCAGAACAGAUCCAGAUCAUGCCAACCAGCUGCUGGACCGUCUGCUAGACAGAGUCUUUCUCCAGGUGGAACCUGGACCACCAUCUGGAGAUGAACUUGAAGAAGAACCCGUAGCUGAACCUGGAGAGGAACUUGAAGAAGAACGUGGGUCAGACCCAGAGGAUUCAACAGCAGCUUCUCUUCCCAGGAGAGUUGUGAACGCUUUUCAUGACAAAGUGUGGAACCGGUUCAUUGCUGCAAGUCUUCCUCCAGUCACUCGUCCUCCCUCUCCUCCACCUUCCCCUCCUGCCAUCAAUCAGGAUCAAACCGACAACCUCGACCCUCAGCGAACGGAUGCAACCCAGCAUGCCUCUCUCUCCUCUCAAGGUGCCUCUCACAGUUCCUACUGGGAGGAGAAGCAAAAUGAUGAGUCACAAUUCUAGAGAGAAAUAAAGGAACCAAACGCACUGACUGACCUUUCAUUAUGUUUAUUAAAUACUGAAUAUAAAGUUGAAAAUCUGUCUGCCGCCAAACUUAAAAUAUUGUGUCAUAUUUUAUCAAGUUAUGGUGAUUUUCAUAGUUAACCUGUUAGUCAUGUUGUGAUAGUGUUCAUCUGAAUUUUAUUUUAUUCUCGGGUCAAUGACACAAUCGGUGAUUUCACAAACAGAAAUACAACUGAAGAGCCUGAAAAAUAAUCGUUUGUCAACUGAUGAGUACAUGAAUGGUACACAUAGA
rnacentral:lncRNA from 15 species